rnacentral:rRNA from 1 species
AUACGUAGGAGACAAGCGUUAUCCGGAUUUACUGGGCGUAAAGGGCGUGUAGGCGGUCUUGCAAGUCAGAAGUGAAAUUCCUGAGCUCAACUCGGGCGCUGCUUCUGAAACUGCAGGACUUGAGUGCUGGAGGGGAUAGCGGAAUUCCUAGUGGAGCGGUAAAAUGCGCAGAUAUUAGGAAGAACACCGGUGGCGAAGGCGGGUCUCUGGGCAGUAACUGACGCUGAGGAGCGAAAGCAUGGGUAGCGAACAGGAUUAGAUACCCUGGUAGUCCAUGCCGUAAACGAUGAAUACUAGGUGUAGGGGGUAUCGACUCCCUCUGUGCCGCAGUUAACACAAUAAGUAUUCCGCCUGGGGAGUACGGCCGCAAGGUUGAAACUCAAAGGAAUUGGCGGGG